UGGGAGCCGGUGAAAGGAGGAAGAAGACUCCCUUUGGGAGUCUUCUCCUCUAUUUUCCCUUCCUUCUUUUUUUUUUUCGUUUGGACUUUGUGGGCUGGGUUUAAGGCCUAAUUAGGUCACGCUAUAACAUUCUUCCCUUCUAAAAGAAAUUUCAUCCUCGAAAUUUUUCUUACUUGUAUCUUCAUAGUUUCUUACUUGAAUCUCAUCCUCAAAUAUUUCAAAAUUUUAAUUCUUGAUAUAAAAUUAAUUCUUAAAUUAUUUC
rnacentral:lncRNA from 1 species